AGCAGCAUGGUGCAGUUGGAAGCAUGCAGGGCCCAUAUCAUAAUUAAGACUGGCAUAAUUACUCAACCCCAAGGUCACUUGAUCGAAACAAGUUGCUGCUA